GACGAACGCUGGCGGCGCGCUUAACACAUGCAAGUCGAACGGGGUUCAGCCUCCGGGCUGGAUUCAGUGGCGAACGGGUGCGUAACACGUGAGCAACCUGCCCCUGUAUGGGGGAUAACCCUGGGAAACCGGGGCUAAUACCGCAUGCGCUCUAGGAGCUACCUGGCUCUUUGAGGAAAGUCCCUGAAAGGGGAUGUGCAGGGAGGGGCUCGCGGCGUAUCAGCUAGUUGGCGGGGUAACGGCCCACCAAGGCAACGACGCGUAGCCGGUCUGAGAGGACGACCGGCCACAUUGGGACUGAGAUACGGCCCAGACUCCUACGGGAGGCAGCAGUGGGGAAUCUUGCGCAAUGGGCGAAAGCCUGACGCAGCGACGCCGCGUGGGGGAGGAAGCUUUUCGGAGUGUAAACCCCUGUCAGGAGGGAAGAACGGUCUUGGGAGGAAAUGCCUGAGAUUUGACGGUACCUCCAGAGGAAGCACCGGCUAACUCUGUGCCAGCAGCCGCGGUAAUACAGAGGGUGCGAGCGUUGUUCGGAAUUACUGGGCGUAAAGCGCGCGUAGGCGGUUGUUUAAGUCUUACCGUGAAAUGCCGGGGCUCAACCCCGCGCACGUCGGGGGAUACUGGACGACUGGAGACAAGUAGAGGCGAGCGGAAUUCCGGGUGUAGCGGUGGAAUGCGUAGAGAUCCGGAAGAACACCAGAGGCGAAGGCGGCUCGCUGGGCUUGGUCUGACGCUGAGGCGCGAAAGCGUGGGGAGCGAACAGGAUUAGAUACCCUGGUAGUCCACGCCGUAAACGAUGGAUGCUAGACGCUGGGCGGAUCGACCCGGUCAGUGUCGCAGCUAACGCGAUAAGCAUCCCGCCUGGGGAGUACGGCCGCAAGGCUGAAACUCAAAGGAAUUGACGGGGGCCCGCACAAGCGGUGGAGCAUGUGGUUCAAUUCGAUGCAGAGCGAAGAACCUUACCUGGGCUUGACAUGCUGGAAGUAGAAACCCGAAAGGGCGACGACCUGUUAAGUCAGGAACCAGCACAGGUGGUGCAUGGCUGUCGUCAGCUCGUGCCGUGAGGUGUUGGGUUAAGUCCCGCGACGAGCGCAACCCUCACCCUAUGUUGCCAACGGUUCGGCCGGGCACUCUUAGGGAACUGCCGGCGAAGAGCUGGAGGAAGGGGGGGAUGACGUCAAGUCCGUAUGCCCCUUAUGUCCAGGGCUACACACAUGCUACAAUGGUCGGUACAGAGGGUUGCCAACCCGCAAGGGGGAGCCAAUCCCAGAAAGCCGAUCUCAGUUCGGAUUGUAGGCUGCAACUCGCCUACAUGAAGUAGGAAUCGCUAGUAAGCGCAGAUCAGCAGGCUGCGCUGAAUACGUUCCCGGGCCUUGUACACACCGCCCGUCACACCACGAAAGCCAGCUGUACCAGAAGUCGCUGAGCUAACCGCAAGGAUGCAGGCGCCCAAGGUAUGGUUGGUGAUUGGGGUG
rnacentral:rRNA from 1 species